rnacentral:rRNA from 1 species
AAUGAACGCUGGCGGCGCGCCUAAUACAUGCAAGUCGAGCGAGAAGACGUAGCAAUACGUUUGUAAAGCGGCGAACGGGUGAGGAAUACAUGGGUAACCUACCCUAGAGUGGGGAAUAACUAGCCGAAAGGUUAGCUAAUACCGCGUACGCUCCUUGGACUUCGGUUCAGGGAGGAAAGCGAUGCCGAGGGUAUCGCGCUCUUGGAUGGGCUCAUGUCCUAUCAGCUUGUGGUGAGGUAACGGCUCACCAAGGCUUCGACGGGUAGCUGGUCUGAGAGGACGAUCAGCCACACUGGCACUGCGACACGGGCCAGACUCCUACGGGAGGCAGCAGUAAGGAAUAUUGCGCAAUGGGCGAAAAGCCUGACGCAGCGACGCCGCGUG